CUGAAACUGUACACAUUUCUGCAUGGUGCAGAGGAGGCCAUGGGGAAUGAUGGAGCAGCGAUAGUGACAUAGCAAGAAGCAGGAGAGGACAAAAUGAUUUGACAAUGGAGGCCUGCAGGCUAUGGUGUUUCUUUUUACUGGUGCUUGUGGUAGCCUGAAGCAUCAGGGAAAAUGUCUCAGCACAGGUCAUCCUCGCCCUGCGAGUGCUCCUGGGCAUUGUUCUUCCUUGCCUGUCCGUUAUGUGCUGACCGGAAGGGAUCGGGCUGGCUGCCAUGUUUUGAGAGGAACAUGAGAAAUAUAGAGUAAUCGUGCGUCGUUGCGUUGGCGGAUGAUGCCACAUAUGAUUCGUUGCCGGAUCCAAAGGACCAGAUCAUACAUUUCUAUUGAGGUUGCUGUAACCCAGUUUUCUCUUGCUCUUGCCUUUGGAAGCAAGGUGGAAGCGACAUCGUGUCAGAAGGCCCAAGGUGUAGUCUACGGAGUCAAAAGCCUGCAAAGAAGGCCACCAAUGGUGGCUGUUUGGUCUGCUACCUAAAGGUGCCAGUUGUUUUCUUCAGUUUUGGUGUUCCAUCUUCUCCAAGCAAAGCCAUAGGCCAUGGACCCGCUGCUCCGUUCUAAUUUGGCAGAAAAGCUGGCCGGGAUGGCGCCACCUUACUGGAGAUCUGGGUAGUUUGGAUUUAGAAUGCCAGAAUACAAUUUUUUUGUUUAACCCCUUUGCCUUAUUUAUAUGUAUUCUUUAGCUCUCCAGUUAUAUUAGCUAUUUAGCUUAGACACCAUCACAGUAUUUGUUAAAUAUGGUCCAAGUGUUAUCUGUUAAAUACUCCUAAUAUCUUUCUGUCUUCCUCAAUACAUCGUUUCAAUUUGACCAAGCAGAAGUUCUCAAACAGUGGAGCAUACAUGCAUGAGUAGAACUGAACAUAUUAUUGCAAU